UCAUCUGUCCUUGAGGUGGGAUAACCCAGCGAAAGUUGGCUAAUACCGAAUGGGCCCCUGAAGGGAGACCUUUGGGGGCAAAGGCAGCCUUUUUUGUAGGGGCUGUCCCUGAGGGAGGAGCCUGCGCCCUAUCAGCUAGUUGGUGUGGUAACGGCGCACCAAGGCCAAGACGGGUAGCUGGUCUGAGAGGAUGACCAGCCACACGGGGACUGAGACACGGCCCCGACUCCUACGGGAGGCAGCAGUGGGGAAUAUUGGGCAAUGGGCGCAAGCCUGACCCAGCGACGCCGCGUGGGUGAUGAAGGCCUUCGGGUCGUAAAGCCCUGUCGGGAGGAAAGAACGAUCAGGGGGUGCACAGCCCUCUGGUGUGACGGUACCUCCGAAGGAAGCACCGGCCAACUCCGUGCCAGCAGCCGCGGUAA
rnacentral:rRNA from 1 species